rnacentral:tRNA from 1 species
GGAGGUGUUGAAAUGCAGGCUGGUAAAGGGGUUGGUAAAUUUUACUAGUUUGCAUGGCAUGCAAAAGGUCACCGGUUCGACUCCGGUAACCUCCA